GACGUAGGGCGCAAGCGUUGUCCGGAUUUAUUGGGCGUAAAGAGCUCGUAGGCGGCUGGUUGCGUCGACUGUGAAAACCCGGGGCUCAACUCCGGGCUUGCAUUCGAUACGGGCAGGCUAGAGUUCGGUAGGGGAGUCUGGAAUUCCUGGUGUAGCGGUGAAAUGCGCAGAUAUCAGGAGGAACACCGGUGGCGAAGGCGGGACUCUGGGCCGAUACUGACGCUGAGGAGCGAAAGCGUGGGGAGCGAACAGG
rnacentral:rRNA from 1 species